UUUUAUUUUAGCGAAUAACUUGACCUGGGACAAGAAAUAGUCAAUAGUUCCCUAAACAUUUAUGAGGACAGCUGACUGGUGCUUUGUCAGAGCAGAUGCCCUACUCUGUAUUGGUCAAGCCACUUCAUGGUGGCUCAGAGCCAAGUUCUGUCACGGCUGAGUACCUGGAUGUAUUUUGCCACUAAAGAAAAGGUCAGAGUUUAGGUGUGAUCUUGGGGUACUUAAUGAGUUUCACCACAUAGCAUGGUGCAGGCUGUUUUCCAUCUUCAAAGAGAAGAGAGAAGUGGAGAUUGAAAGGACAGCAACCAGGCUGAGGUCACAUGAGUGAAGGCGUGUCCUGAGCGAAUGGGUUGCUUGCUGCUCUUCUGACAGAGACCUGGUCUUGAGUGUUGAGAAUGGCAGGCAGGAGCUUCUCCUAAACCAGAGGGAGAGUGGCCUUCCAAGGCCGCCUAGGCCUUCAGUGAUUCCACAGACUGGCUCAUACCUUUUCCUAAAGCAUAAAGUGGGAAUUUUCAUUUCUUUUCAAAUGACAUCUAGGUGUCUCUUUUCUUCCACAUGGUUGACUCCCAUCCUUAAACAGUAACCCUGGGAAAGAGCAGGAAUUCGUGCUGCAUUCAGUUAGCUCUAUGAACUUCCACCACACCUACCUCAGCUCUGUUCGUAACUAUAAAAAGAGGGCAGACCUUGCUCCAAAAAGUUGUUCCGAAGGAGCUGGGGAAUGGCCCAGCUGGAGAGCCCUUUGCUACUGUUGCUGAGAUCCAUAGUGCCAUGUGCUGAGUCACAACCACCCGUGACUCCAGGCCCAAGAGUUCUUCUGGUCCUCAGGGGCACCCGCACAGAUAUGGGCAUGCAUACACACACAUAAACACACACACAAAUAACACAACUUUUAUAUAAAAAGAUGUGAUAAAAAUGCAAUGGUGGUGGUGCACGCCUUUGAUCCCAUUGCCUAAGAGGCAGAGGCAGCAGAUCUCUAUAAAAGACUGGAUCUACAGGGCAAGUUGCAGGGCAGCUAGGCCAGAACCACACAAAGAGAACCUGGGUUGGGGGGUAGUGCAAUAGAAAAGGUUUUUAAAAAUGCUAACGCUCCAUGUUAGUUCUUACAGGCUAUGCACGGAAUCUGAGCAUGCUUUACUGGUUGAGACAAUGACACAUUAAUAUGAAAACAGCAUUUCUGGGUUAUAUUUUUCUAUUUCUCAGAGCUUUUUCUCCAACCUCCAAACCUUAUAAUUUGGUUUGAAAUUCAAAUGAAACAGUUAAGGGGAGGGGGAGUGACGGGACAAGUCAGAUGCAGUGCUGCCAGGGAGAGCCCCAUGGCCUCCCCUCAAGCGGUGGGUUAGCAGGUCGUCCUGCUAGCGCCUCCUAAGGUCAUCAUUUCUUUCUUGGUGUGCAGUAGAAUAGAGUUUUGUAUCCUUUAGCUCUGAAAUAGUUAAAUAAUUGCUGAACAGAUUGUUACUUUAAAAUGUUCCUGGUAUCUGUUACAGAACUAUUAAGAUGGCAAGUAAGUGGGGUCUUAAUGUCCAGCUGUUUUAAGAGUGACAGAGCGUUGUGUCACCUAUAGAAAUUGCAACAAAUACAUAUUUAUUGGGGUCAGUCAUCCACAGUUUCAAAAGACAAAAGCAGUAUGUGGCAUGCAUCUGGUGCCAUGUCUGUGUGUUUGAGGAAAAGCAUGGAAGACCAUGGUUGAUUUCUAUUUUCUGCUUUCUUUUUCCAUGGUGUUUAUAUUACCUGAAUUUUGUAUAAUUUUUAAGGGAGACGGGAUGGGAGCAGACCUCCCUGACAGUGUACUGAUUCUGCUUGGUAAGAUAGAACUUUUUAUUUUUUUUUACAAUUGAGACAAAAUAAUUAAGGCAGUAGUUAGAAAGGGGCCAGGCCUUGGCGACACAGGUGCAGUCCUCAGACAGUGGCUUCUACAGGUGGACGUGGAUGCGCCUGAGGGAAUGAAGAAACCAUAAGUCCUGCCCCUCCCCGGGGAGGGGCUUUCCAGAGCGCACUUUGGGUCUCCUGACAUGUACGAACUUGCAGUUAAAUGAGCACUAGUUCAAAGAAGAAAAAAGUUGUCUCCUUCCGG
rnacentral:lncRNA from 1 species